AGAGGCAUCGCAAACCUGCGGGCAGGUUUGUCUGUUUUUCAGCAGACCUGCGUGAGCUGCGGAGGCCAAGGUUUAUGCUGUCCCGUUCCUUGGGUCCAUGUGAUAGGCUACAUCCAGGCUACGCUGUUCCCUCAACCGCUGUGGAAUGCAGCUGCAUGAGAUCCUGACACUCCCAUCCCCCCUGCAAUCACCUCAUUUUGCUCACCUGACCUUCCCAAAGGGGUAAGCCAGAGUUGGAACACCAAAGCCUGCAUGGAACGUUCCAUCAGCCAUUCACCUAAAUAUACCAGCCCAGAAACAUUGUUCCUCUGACAGUUUGUCAAAGUUAUCAUGUACAGCGUGCCUUUGUUUUCGAGCCUGAGCCUGUACCUAACCUGAACCUGCCAGUUCCAUGCACCAUGCCUAUAUAGCCUCACUUUGA